GACGAACGCUGGCGGCGUGCUUAACACAUGCAAGUCGAACGGUGAAGCGCCUUCCUUUUUGGUGGGUGUGGAUGAGUGGCGAACGGGUGAGUAACACGUGAGUAACCUGCCCCCUCCUUCUGGAUAACCGCAUGAAAGUGUGGCUAAUACGGGAUAUUCUGGGCCUGUCGCAUGAUGGGUCUGGGACAGAUUUUGUUUCGGUGGGGGAUGGGGUCGCGGCCUAUCAGCUUGUUGGUGGGGUGAUGGCCUACCAAGGCGGUGAGGGGUAGCCGGCCUGAGAGGGUGGACGACCAUGCAGGGGCGGAGACACGGCGCAGACUCCGGCAGGAGGCAGCAGGGGGUAUUAUGGCACAGUGGGCGGAAGCCUGAUGCAGCGACGCCGCGUGGGGGAUGGAGGCCUUCGGGUUGUGAACCUCUUUCGCCAGUGAAGCAGGCCUGCCUCGUUUGUGGGUGGGUUGACGGUAGCUGGAUAAGAAGCGCCGGCUAACUACGUG
rnacentral:rRNA from 1 species